GCAAUGCAGGUUGCCCUGGAUCUGGAGAAGAAUGUGAACCAGAGUUUGCUGGAUCUACACCAACUUGCCACUGCCCAGACUGACCCUCAUCUGUGUGACUUCCUGGAGACUCACUAUUUGGAUGAGGAGGUUGAGAUCAUCAAGUGACUUGGGGACUACAUCACCAACCUGAAGCGUCUGGGAGCUCCUGAGAAUGGGCUGGGAGAGUACCUGUUUGACAGGCUCUCGCUGGAGGACAGCAGUUAGUGGGGACUUUGACUGUGGUCUUUGCCUGUUUUGUAUCCAACUCCUUGAGAGAAUUUCUCC